rnacentral:tRNA from 1 species
GCCCGGACGUAGCGGGCCAGGGGCCGCACCGCGUCCUCGGCGGUCAUCCCGGGUGGGCGUUCGGUCUCGUACUGCUCCAGGAUCCGGCCGCC